rnacentral:rRNA from 1 species
AUGCACGCUGGCGGCGUGCUUAACACAUGCAAGUCGCACGGAAAGGCUCCUGCUUGCAGGGGUACUCGAGUGGCGAACGGGUGAGUAACACGUGGGUGAUCUGCCCUGCACUUCGGGAUAAGCCUGGGAAACUGGGUCUAAUACCGGAUAGGACCACAUUUUGGAUGGUGUGGUGGAAAGUUUUUCGGUGUGGGAUGAGCUCGCGGCCUAUCAGCUUGUUGGUGGGGUAAUGGCCUACCAAGGCGUCGACGGGUAGCCGGCCUGAGAGGGUGUACGGCCACAUUGGGACUGAGAUACGGCCCAGACUCCUACGGGAGGCAGCAGUGGGGAAUAUUGCACAAUGGGCGCAAGCCUGAUGCAGCGACGCCGCGUGGGGGAUGACGGCCUUCGGGUUGUAAACUCCUUUCGCUAGGGACGAAGCGCAAGUGACGGUACCUGGAGAAGAAGCACCGGCUAACUACGUG